GAUCAACGCUGGCGGCGUGCAUAACACAUGCAAGUCGAACGAUGAAGCUUAAAAGAUUUCUUCGGAAUGAACUUAAUUGGAUUAGUGGCGGACGGGUGAGUAACGCGUGAGUAACCUGCCUUGUACAAGGGGAUAGCCGUUGGAAACGACGAAUAAUACCCUAUGACAUCAAAUAAUCGCAUGAUAAUUUGAUCAAAGAUUUAUCGGUAUAAGAUGGACUCGCGUCUGAUUAGCUAGUUGGUAGAGUAAAAGCCUACCAAGGCAACGAUCAGUAGCCGGCUUGAGAGAGUGUACGGCCACAUUGGGACUGAGACACGGCCCAGACUCCUACGGGAGGCAGCAGUGGGGAAUUUUGCACAAUGGGGGAAACCCUGAUGCAGCGACGCCGCGUGAUGUAGAAGGCCUUCGGGUUGUAAAAAUCUUUUGUAUGGGAAGAAAAUGACAGUACCAUACGAAUAAGGACCGGCUAAUUACGG
rnacentral:rRNA from 1 species